GAACGCACAUUGCGCCCUUUGGUAUUCCGAAGGGCAUGCCUGUUCGAGCGUCAUUAUCACCCCUCAAGCCCCCGGCUUGGUGUUGGACGGCUUGGUGGAGACCCUUUUGUGGCCCACCCCUCCCAAAGACAAUGACGGCGGCCUCGUUGGACCCCCGGUACACUGAGUUCUUCACGGGACGCGUAUCGGACACACGGGUUUACGGGUCACGGUCUGCCUCCCCUCAGGGAGAACUUUUCUAAGGUUGACCUCGGAUCAGGUAGGGAUACCCGCUGAACUUAA
rnacentral:misc_RNA from 1 species